UGAAAUAGCUCAAUAGGUAGAGCAACUGAAUCGUAAUCAGUAGGUUGGGGGUUCAAUUCCUCUUUUCAGC
rnacentral:tRNA from 1 species